GACAGAGGUGCCAAGCGUUAGGCGGAAUCACUGGGCUUAAAGCGUGUGUAGGCGGAAUUGUAAGUACCUUGUGAAAUCCCACAGCUCAACUGUGGAACUGCUCGGUAUACUGCUUUUCUUGAGCCACUUAGGGGCUGUCGGAACAAAUGGUGGAGCGGUGAAAUGCGUAGAUAUCAUUUGGAACGCCAACGGUGAAAACAGACAGCUGGGAGUGCGCUGACGCUGAGAUACGAAAGCCAGGGGAGCGAACGGG
rnacentral:rRNA from 1 species